AACUCCCAAACCCCUGUGAACAUACCACUUGUUGCCUUGGCGGAUCAGCCCGCUCCCGGUAAAACGGGACGGCCCGCCAGAGGACCCCUAAACUCUGUUUCUAUAUGUAACUUGUGAGUAAAACCAUAAAUAAAUCAAAACUUUCAACAACGGAUCUCUUGGUUCGGGUAUCGAUGAAGAACGCAGCAAAAUGCGAUAAGUAAUGUGAAUUGCAGAAUUCAGUGAAUCAUCGAAUCUUUGAACGCACAUUGCGCCCGCCAGUAUUCUGGCGGGCAGCCUGUUCGAGCGUCAUUUCAACCCUCAAGCAAAGCGGGGUGUUGGGACUCGCGUUAAUUCGCGUUCCCCAAAUGAUGGCGGUCACGUCGGAGCUUCCCAAAAGGGGUUUAUACCCC
rnacentral:rRNA from 1 species